rnacentral:rRNA from 1 species
CCUACGGGUGGCUGCAGUGGGGAAUAUUGGACAAUGGGGGGAACCCUGAUCCAGCCAUGCCGCGUGUGUGAAGAAGGCCCUCGGGUUGUAAAGCACUUUCAGUGAGGAAGAACGCCUGGUGGUUAAUACCCAUCAGGAAAGACAUCACUCACAGAAGAAGCACCGGCUAACUCCGUGCCAGCAGCCGCGGUAAUACGGAGGGUGCGAGCGUUAAUCGGAAUUACUGGGCGUAAAGCGCGCGCAGGUGGCUUGAUAAGCCGGUUGUGAAAGCCCCGGGCUCAACCUGGGAACGGCAUCCGGAACUGUCAAGCUAGAGUGCAGGAGAGGAAGGUAGAAUUCCCGGUGUAGCGGUGAAAUGCGUAGAGAUCGGGAGGAAUACCAGUGGCGAAGGCGGCCUUCUGGACUGACACUGACACUGAGGUGCGAAAGCGUGGGUAGCAAACAGGAUUAGAUACCCUUGUAGUC